GUUAACACUGCCACCCAGCCACUUUGUAUUCCUCAAGCCUCUCACUCAACAGGCAAGGAAAGGAGUGACUAUGCUGGCUGGGAUGAUUGAUCCUGAUUACCAAGGUGAAAUUGGAGUACUACACCACAGUGGAGCUGGGACAUCUAUCUUCUCCUGCCUUCACACUCAGACUCAGAUUGGAUCUUACACUAUUGGCCUUCCUGGUUCUCAGGUCAAAAUACAACUAUACCAUCAGCAAUCCUGAAUCUCCAGCUUGCUGACUGUAAAUCUUAGGACUUCUCAGCUUUCACAACCAGAACCCAGACUAAUACAAGAACCAAAUCUACGUCCAAGGCAAGGCAACGUAGUAAAGCAAGAAAUCAUCAGAACCUGGCUUGGGACUGAAGUGGAAGAAGAAGGGCUGUUCAUUGGCAAGAA
rnacentral:lncRNA from 1 species